rnacentral:rRNA from 1 species
AGAUAGAGGAGUGCUCGAAAGAGAACCGUAACACAGGUGCUGCAUGGCUGUCGUCAGCUCGUGUCGUGAGAUGUUGGGUUAAGUCCCGCAACGAGCGCAACCCUUGUCAUUAGUUGCUACAUUCAGUUGGGGCACUCUAAUGAGACUGCCGGUGACAAACCGGAGGAAGGUGGGGAUGACGUCAAGUCCUCAUGGCCCUUAUAGGUGGGGCUACACACGUCAUACAAUGGAUGGUACAAAGGGUCGCCAACCCGCGAGGGGGAGCCAAUCCCAUAAAGCCAUUCGUAGUCCGGAUCGCAGUCUGCAACUCGACUGCGUGAAGUCGGAAUCGCUAGUAAUCGUGGAUCAGAAUGUCACGGUGAAUACGUUCCCGGGUCUU